rnacentral:rRNA from 1 species
CAGGUGGGGCAUGCCCUUUACCCAUGCAGUCGAACGGUAACAGGGUGCUUGCACCGCUGACGAGUGGCGAACGGGUGAGUAAUGCAUCGGAAUGUACCGUGUAAUGGGGGAUAGCUCGGCGAAAGCCGGAUUAAUACCGCAUACGCCCUGAGGGGGAAAGUGGGGGACCGUAAGGCCUCACGUUAUACGAGCAGCCGAUGUCUGAUUAGCUAGUUGGUGGGGUAAAGGCUCACCAAGGCGACGAUCAGUAGCGGGUCUGAGAGGAUGAUCCGCCACACUGGGACUGAGACACGGCCCAGACUCCUACGGGAGGCAGCAGUGGGGAAUUUUGGACAAUGGGCGCAAGCCUGAUCCAGCCAUGCCGCGUGUCUGAAGAAGGCCUUCGGGUUGUAAAGGACUUUUGUCCGGGAGCAAAUCCCAGUGGUUAACACCUACUGGGGCUGAGAGUACCGGAAGAAUAAGCACCGGCUAACUACGUGCCAGCAGCCGCGGUAAUACGUAGGGUGCAAGCGUUAAUCGGAAUUACUGGGCGUAAAGCGUGCGCAGGCGGUUGUGCAAGUCUGAUGUGAAAGCCCCGGGCUUAACCUGGGAACGGCAUUGGAGACUGCACGACUAGAGUGCGUCAGAGGGGGGUAGAAUUCCGCGUGUAGCAGUGAAAUGCGUAGAGAUGCGGAGGAAUACCGAUGGCGAAGGCAGCCCCCUGGGAUGACACUGACGCUCAUGCACGAAAAGCGUGGGGAGCAACAGGAUUAGAUACCCUGGUAGUCCACGCCCUAACGAUGUCACUAGCUGUUGGGGGUUUGAAUCCUUGGUAGCGAAGCUAACGCGAAAGUUGACCGCCUGGGGAGUACGGCCGCCAAGGUUAAAAACUC